UUUUGUAUGAUGAACAAACUGGAGAGGUUAUGGGGUUGUUCUUUAUAUUGAGUUGUUCUAUGCUGCUCAGUUUUACAAUUGCUAGCCUAUCUAGUAGCUUGUUUUGUCAUAUCCCUGUGCUAGGUCAUCAUCUGAUUUGAAGCCUUCAACGAUAGCUUAUGUCAUCUACAGGUCUUCACUCUAAUUUAUAUUCUCAGGUCCCUCUCUUAUAUCUCCAUUAUCUAUUACUUGGUUCCUUAUAUUAGGAUUGUAGUUGAAAAGAACAUUUCAUAAUCAAGAGAAUACCUCUUCACUUUUUGCAAGAGAUCAUCUAAACUCACUAAAAUCAACAAACAAUACAACUUAGCUUCACAAUCUUGUUUCUCUCAGUAAGUAAUAUGCUCAGAACUUGCAAGGAAGAUUCAUACUCGGGUGAUCAAAUAGCGAAAGACAAGGCUUCCCUUCAUGUCUACUCUCUCACACUCCAUCGUAACUUGAAAGAAGGGAACACCUUCAAGUUAGUGUAUCUAGUUAUCUUUUUGCUGAAGCGCCUAUUUACUUCUUGAAAAACAACUUAUACUUCAAGCCUUUACCGUUAAAGAACCAACACUGGUUGUUUCUCCUGGAAAAAAUAUUUGAACAUCAAUGCAAGAAGACUACCUGCAUCUAGAAAUUUACAACAUCUGUUGAUGUACAUAUUGACUUGGAUUAAAGUUGGCAUCAAAUCCUGUUUUUCAUGCGCAGUGUCGUAGAAGGAAAAAAUAUGAAAUGUCAUGCCUUGUCCUCUUACUCCUUCUCAGUAUUAGGAUUGAGAUUCCCUUCGUAUAUCAGCUGUGAUAAAAAAAAUAUAGGUAACACAUAAAGGAGUUUUAAAUUUAGUAGCCGAAUCUAUUUCAAAAUAAUUACUAAUAUAACAAUUAUUGUUGCCUUAUUGUGUUCCAAUUUCAUCCUCCGAUAUUUUUCUUGUGUUUGCUUUGAUCGAAACAUGGAUUGAACUCGCACAACAGAUCUUUCGAUACACUCUUCAACUUUUUUCCUACUGGCUUGGAAGAAAUCCUCCUCCAUAUCAUCGGGUUUGUGAGUAACUACUUGACUAGACUAGAGUUGAAGCUUAUGAAAGCCUUUUUUCUUCAAACACCAAUGAAAUAUUGCCUUUUCAAGCACCCUGACCAAAUUAUCUCUAGGUAAUGCCUUCGAACAUGAAAACCAUUGAACACAGCCCGCAUGACCAGAGGCAGGUUCCAUUAAUAAUGGAUCAUGUUAUUCUGUCAGUUUUAUAGAAAAGACAAAGAGUAAUUGGGAAAACUUGCGAAGUUAUCAUUCUUGUAAGAACUUCUCAAUCAUAUUAACUCAUGUUUAUUGUAGGUGUAUAUCACCAAUUCAUUUAGUUCCAUGCCAAUUUCAUUUACAGAGCAGUUAACUCAAAUAAUUUCACCGGUGAGAUUCCACCAAUUCUUGAUAAUCUGUCAAAACUCUACUGACUUGAUUUAGCAGAUAAUCAGUUAAUCAGAUCGAUUCCUAUUUCAACCUCCUCAAGUUCGGGAUUGGACCUUCUGAAGAAAGAAGAACACUUGUUUGAGUGCAACCUAUUCGUGGACUUCCUCUUUUUUGCAAAGACACAGCCGAGCAUCUUUCAAAAAUUGUUGACAUACUUGUAUAACUCCUGACUGCUGAGAAAAAUAUGGAACGUGAUACAGUAAACAAAGCCCUUUUGUCCUUGUUAAAGCAAGACGUAAAAGAAUGGAUUCAUGAGUCUUGAGGAACUGAAAUAAUCUGCUUUGGCUUUAUGAGACUGAUUCAUUCCCAGGAGUAUUAUUGUCUAAACUAGAGAAUCAUCACAAUGCCGGGAAAACACCAGAUGAUGCAUUCACGGCAGUGUUUGGAAAUGAGAAGCCUGGUCGAGUUAGAGGUUAUGAACGAUCAGUGACAACAACUUCUCUAAAAAAAAGAUGAGGAAAUGAACAAGCUUAAACAAAAGCAUGCUAAUGAAGUCACUUCUAUGAAGAAGAAAUUAUAAGUGAAAUGAGAGAAGAAAUGCGACAAGUUUUUUAGUCAAUCGGUGCAAAACAAUUCUGGAUUGAAUUUUCAAGAUAUACUAGGGAGUGAUGGAUAUAACAUUUCUUUACCUGAUGCGAGUAAUGCACAAGCUGCAAGAGAAAAAAUUCUUUCAAAUUCUUUCGGCUCAGCUCAUGCUUCGGUUCAUGAAAAGAUACUUUAUAUUAGAAAUUCACAAGAAAUUUAAAUCCUGAACUUUUAACUUUAUUGAAUGAAUUAAAGAA